UUGUGCUAAGCGGGGAGUUAGCGGUGCCCUGAAUCUGCAAUCCGCUAUAGCAGAGCUGAAAUCCCGAUUGAGGCGGGAGGCGUUUAUUUUUGAAAUAGUAGUUAUGUGUUGAAAACUAAAGUCCUAUGCAACAAGAUACUGUGAACCCCGUCAGAUCCGAGAGGAAGCAGCGGUAAACAGAACCAUUUUGGGUGCUGUAGGGGUGCUUGGUUUGAGCAUUAUUAUUAUGGAGAAAAUUAACAGUCCCCGACGAUAAAGGGUGCACAG
rnacentral:SRP_RNA from 1 species